GACGAACGCUGGCGGCGUGCCUAACACAUGCAAGUCGAACGGAGUUGAAAGGAGCUUGCUUUUUUCAACUCAGUGGCGGACGGGUGAGUAACGCGUGAGUAACCUGCCUUUCAGAGGGGGAUAACAGUUGGAAACGACUGCUAAUACCGCAUAAGCGCACGGUAUCGCAUGAUACAGUGUGAAAAACUCCGGUGGUAUAAGAUGGACCCGCGUCUGAUUAGCUUGUUGGUGAGGUAACGGCCCACCAAGGCGACGAUCAGUAGCCGGCCUGAGAGGGUGAACGGCCACAUUGGGACUGAGACACGGCCCAAACUCCUACGGGAGGCAGCAGUGGGGAAUAUUGCACAAUGGGGGAAACCCUGAUGCAGCGAGCCGCGUGAGUGAUGAAGUAUUUCGGUAUGUAAAACUCUAUCAGCAGGGAAGAUAAUGACGGUACCUGACUAAGAAGCACCGGGCUAAAAUACGUG
rnacentral:rRNA from 1 species